rnacentral:rRNA from 1 species
UUUCCCUACGGGAGGCAGCAGUGAGGAAUAUUGGUCAAUGGGCGAGAGCCUGAACCAGCCAAGUCGCGUGAGGGAGUACUGCCCUAUGGGUUGUAAACCUCUUUUGUCGGGGAGCAAAAGCCGGACGUGUCCGGCUGUGAGAGUACCCGAAGAAAAAGCAUCGGCUAACUCCGUGCCAGCAGCCGCGGUAAUACGGAGGAUGCGAGCGUUAUCCGGAUUUAUUGGGUUUAAAGGGUGCGUAGGCGGAAUAUCAAGUCAGCGGUAAAAAUUCGGGGCUCAACCCCGUCGUGCCGUUGAAACUGAUG